rnacentral:tRNA from 1 species
GAGGAUAUAGCUCAAUGGUAGAGAGUGUGCUUAGCUUGCAUGAGGUCCUGGGUUCAAUCCCUGGUACCUUCA